UACGGAGGGGGCUAGCGUUGUUCGGAAUUACUGGGCGUAAAGCGCGCGUAGGCGGACCUGCAAGUCGGGGGUGAAAGCCCGAGGCUCAACCUCGGAACUGCCUUCGAUACUGCGGGUCUUGAGUCCGGGAGAGGUGAGUGGAAUUCCUAGUGUAGAGGUGAAAUUCGUAGAUAUUAGGAAGAACACCAGUGGCGAAGGCGGCUCACUGGCCCGGUACUGACGCUGAGGCGCGAAAGCGUGGGGAGCAAACAGGG
rnacentral:rRNA from 1 species